GGGAGCAAGUGGAUCGAAACAAACAAAGAAUUUCUCUCUCCCCCACUCCCCUAGUUCACGCCCCACACCCCCCUCUCUCUCUCUCAUUCUCAUCUCUCUUUCUUCUCCAUUAAUCCUCCAUGAUUGAAGAACACUAAAGCUUUUGGAUCAUCUUUACACAAAAGCCUUCCAUAGAAAUCAACCUAAAACACCUCUACCUCAAAUCAAGACCUAGAAAGAUGGAGUUUCAAGCUUGAAGCAGAGAAGAUUUUCACUCUUUCUUUUAAGUCUUGAAUACCAGUCGAGGACGCAAGUGAGAUCACCCCGAGAACCACUUGAAGUAAGCUAAGUUUAUCAGAGGUGACUACGAGCCGUCUAUCGGAUCGACCGGUCACGGUAAUCGGGAGGGAGGCCUACUUCUCGGUACCUUUGAUGAUGAAUUGUAGACGUGGAUAAGUAAGGAUGGAUGAUGGCGUGGUGUUGGCGGGGUUGUUGUUUCGGAUGUUUACUAUCUACCGUAUUUUCAUUUCAUAUUGUAGACCUCGACGUCCUAUUUCCUACUUCUAUGUGUUCUGGCUUCCUCCUCCUCAUCCGUGGCAGAAGAUCAACAUUGAUGGCUCGGUUCAUGGCUCCCCUCAUCUCAUUCAUGCUGGUGGGAUUAUUCGGGAUUCUUCGUCUGUUUUAGGUUGCUUCCAUUUCUCUGCUGGCCGUGGCUGGGCGUUUGAGGCUGAGCUUCUUGCCCUCAUUAUUGCUUUGGAGUAGAUUGUGGUUCAUGGUUGGGAUUAUGUGUGGAUCGAGAUGGACUGCACUUACAUGGUUGAUCUUUUUCAUUCUUGUUCCAACACGGUCCCUUGGAGGUUCUUCAGCCGUUGGAGAAAGGUACUCUCUUCCAUUGCUGGUCUUCAUAUUAUUAUCACUCACAUUUACAGGGAAGGGAAUCGUGUUGCUGAUUUCAUGGCCUCUUUGGUGGCGGAGGAAGGUUUCUGGCCUUUUGCGAUUCCGGAUAUCCUCCAGCUGGUUCGUGACGACAGGAGGCUCCUGCCUUAUGUUCGGAUUGUCACUUGAGGGAGCUGUGUUUUCCAGGGGAGUUUAUGUUCUCUUCUUGUUUUUUGUUUGUUUUCUCUUGUUUUGAGGUUAUCUUUUGGUUCUGCCUGUCUUGGGUGGUUGCCCCUUCCUCUCGGGUUUUACGAGCCUCUCUCGUUCCAUUGGUUUAGUGUUGGUUCUCUUGUGGCUCUGGUUUGUGUUGGUUUUGGUGGUUGGCUUGGUCCAUUUUGUUCUACGGUUCUUGAGCUGUGUAAGGAGUCUAAGGUUUUGGUCGCAACAUCUUCAUAAGCAAUUCAUGACAUGAUUUAUCCGGUAGAUGCUAGCAGGAGUGUUUUCAUUGCAAUAGGCUUAAUAUUUUUUCUCUGGUUUGUAUGGGUUGAUUGAAAUUUGAGCUUCUGGUCUUUGCUCCUCUGAUGGUCUCCUCAUUAUGAGCAUGGAAAACCUCACGAGAAGUCUUUGGUUACUUCCAAUUGCUUCAUCCCGUGAAGAUGGCCUUUCAAAGCAAAGCUUUUGAUCAUUUUAAAAAAUAAUGAGAUUUGAUUAUAAAAGUAAUUGCAUUAGGAGAUUCACUGCUAGCUGAGAAUUGGGUCUGAUUGGAUUAAUUUGUAUUAUCUUGAUGUUGCUUCUCAAUGCCUUAGCUCUGCACAUUUCUCGAGACUGGUGGUCACUUGAGGGUCUGGGUUUGGUUGGAGAUUGCUUGGUUGUUGAGCCUUUUGGGUUCCUUUGCCAUUCUAAAGGUGGACGUAGGGGUUUGUUUGGCCUUGUUAGGAAGGGUUGUCUCCCUUGGUAGGUGGUCUUGGGCGGUGUUCGUUUCUUGUUUUUUGCUUUGUCUUGUUUUCUCUUUUUUCUCCUGUUUUCUCUUAGUUUUGCAGGUUCUUGUGUCCUUGGCCUUCUUGUCUGGAUGCGGCUGGCUUCUCCCUCUGUUUUGGGUUGGUUCUGUUGCGUUGUUUAGUGUUCUCCUGCCUUUGCUGUUCCGGUGUUGGGGCUGUGUCGUUCGUCUGUCGACGGCUUCAUGUUUUUUCUCUUGUUUUGGGUGGAAGGGGCCGGGCUGCCUUGGGGCAAUGGUUUGGCCAGAGUUUUGAGGGCUGUCUUUUCGCCACUUCCUUAUGUUGUUUGUUUGUUGUUUCCUCUUUUGCGUGGUUUUUUUCCUUUGAGAGGGAUUUUGAGCUAUAUUUUCUGAGGCUCGCCCCUUGUUUGCGCCUGUACUUUCAAGGUUUUUUUCACAUUUUCUUUUUUCAAUAAAAUUUCCAUUUCAGCAUUGUA